rnacentral:rRNA from 1 species
GCGCCUACGGGGCGCAGCAGUCGGGAAUAUUGCGCAAUGGAGGAAACUCUGACGCAGUGACGCCGCGUAUGGGAAGAAGGUUUUCGGAUUGUAAGCCAUUGUCGUUAGGGAAGAAGAAGUGACAGUACCUAAGGAGGAAGCUCCGGCUAACUAUGUGCCAGCAGCCGCGGUAAUACAUAGGGAGCGAGCGUUAUCCGGAUUUAUUGGGUGUAAAGGGAACGCAGGCGGUCUUUUAAGUCUGAUGUGAAAGCCUUCGGCUUAACCGGAGUAGUGCAUUGGAAACUGGGAGACUUGAGUGCAGAAGA